UACGUAGGGUGCAGGCGUUAAUCGGAAUUACUGGGCGUAAAGCGUGCGCAGGCGGUUUGCUAAGUCAGCUGUGAAAUCCCCGGGCUUAACCUGGGAACUGCGUUUCUAACUGGCAGGCUUGAGUGUGGCAGAGGGGGGUGGAAUUCCACGUGUAGCAGUGAAAUGCGUAGAGAUGUGGAGGAACACCGAUGGCGAAGGCAGCCCCCUGGGCUAACACUGACGCUCAUGCACGAAAGCGUGGGGAGCAAACAGG
rnacentral:rRNA from 1 species